GUCGGGAAUUUUGCGCAAUGGGCGAAAGCCUGACGCAGCAACGCCGCGUGAGGGAUGACGGCCUUCGGGUUGUAAACCUCUUUUCUCAGGGACGAUGAUGACGGUACCUGAGGAAUAAGCCACGGCUAACUACGUGCCAGCAGCCGCGGUAAUACGUAGGUGGCGAGCGUUGUCCGGAUUUACUGGGCGUAAAGAGCGCGCAGGCGGUCGUUCAAGUCGCGUGUGAAAGCCCCCGGCUCAACUGGGGAGGGUCACGCGAUACUGAUCGACUCGAAGGCGGGAGAGGGAAGCGGAAUUCCCGGUGUAGUGGUGAAAUGCGUAGAUAUCGGGAGGAACACCAGUGGCGAAGGCGGCUUCCUGGCCCGUUCUUGACGCUGAGGCGCGAAAGCUAGGGGAGCAAACGGGAUUAGAAACCCCAGUAGUCC
rnacentral:rRNA from 1 species